UGAUCCAGCAUGCCGCGUGUGUGAAGAAGGCCUUCGGGUUGUAAAGCACUUUUGUCCGGAAAGAAAUGGCUCUGGUUAAUACCUGGGGUCGAUGACGGUACCGGAAGAAUAAGGACCGGCUAACUACGUGCCAGCAGCCGCGGUAAUACGUAGGGUCCAAGCGUUAAUCGGAAUUACUGGGCGUAAAGCGUGCGCAGGCGGUUGUGCAAGACCGAUGUGAAAUCCCCGAGCUUAACUUGGGAAUUGCAUUGGUGACUGCACGGCUAGAGUGUGUCAGAGGGGGGUAGAAUUCCACGUGUAGCAGUGAAAUGCGUAGAGAUGUGGAGGAAUACCGAUGGCGAAGGCAGCCCCCUGGGAUAACACUGACGCUCAUGCACGAAAGCGUGGGGAGCAAACAGGAUUAGAUACCCUGGUAGUCCACGCCCUAAACGAUGUCAACUAGUUGUUGGGGAUUCAUUUCCUUAGUAACGUAGCUAACGCGUGAAGUUGACCGCCUGGGGAGUACGGUCGCAAGAUUAAAACUCAAAG
rnacentral:rRNA from 1 species